GCCGGGCAUGGUGGUGCAUGCCUGUAAUCCCAGCUACUUGGGAGGCUGAGGCAGGAGAAUGGCUUGAACCCAGAAGGUGGAGGUUACAGUGAGCCAAGAUUACGCCACUACACUCCAACCUGGGUGACAGAGUGAGACCCUGUCUCAA
ensembl:misc_RNA Metazoa_SRP Metazoan signal recognition particle RNA